GUGUGACUUUUUCAGAAGGUGAGUUACGCGUUCCGGGCAGUCAGUGCACUGCUCAGCAGGAGGAGGUCCUGCAGGUGGUGCUGCAAGGGGUCGGCUGGCCGCAGGGGGGCCGGCAGCAGGGGGACUGCACAGACACAGGCUGGCAGCAGGUGGUGGCUCAGCAGGAGGAGGUCCUGCAGGUGGUGCUGCAAGGGGUCGGCUGGCCGCAGGGAGGCCGGCAGCAGGGGGACUGCACAGACACAGGCUGGCAGCAGGUGGUGCUGCAAGGGGUCGGCUGGCCGCAGGGGGGCCGGCAGCAGGGGGACUGCACAGACACAGGCUGGCAGCAGGUGGUGGCCCAGCAGCAGGGCCUGCACACC
rnacentral:lncRNA from 1 species